AAAUUUUGAGAGAAGGAGAAGGUCUGAAAUCUUGAUAUGUUCAACUAGAGAGAAUUCUCCACAUGAUUCGUAAAGAAACCUAGCCGAAAUUUGGG